AGAAUUUGAUGAUGGAGCUUCGUA
rnacentral:siRNA from 1 species